CCUACGUGUGGCUGCAGUAGGGAAUCUUCCACAAUGGGUGAAAGCCUGAUGGCGCAACGCCGCGUGGGUGAAGAAGGUCUUCGGAUCGUAAAACCCUGUUGUUAGAGAAGAAAGUGCGUGAUAGUAACUGUCCACGUUUCGACGGUAUCUAACCAGAAAGCCACGGCUAACUACGUGCCAGCAGCCGCGGUAAUACGUAGGUGGCAAGCGUUAUCCGGAUUUAUUGGGCGUAAAGGGAACGAAGGCGGUCUUUUACGUCUGAUGUGAACGCCUUAGGCUUAACGGGAGUAGUGCAUUGGAAACUGGGAGACGUGAGUGCAGAAGAGGAGAGUGGAACUCCAUGUGUAGCGGUGAAAUGCGUAGAUAUAUGGAAGAACACCAGUGGCGAAAGCGGCUCUCUGGUCUGUAACUGACGCUGAGGUUCGAAAGCGUGGGUAGCAAACAGGAUUAGAUACACCAGUAGUC
rnacentral:rRNA from 1 species